rnacentral:rRNA from 1 species
UACGUAGGGGCUAGCGUUAUCCGGAAUUACUGGGCGUAAAGGGUGCGUAGGUGGUUUGUCGCGUCUGCUGUGAAAAUCCGGGGCUCAACCCCGGACUUGCAGUGGGUACGGGCAGACUAGAGUGUGGUAGGGGAGACUGGAAUUCCUGGUGUAGCGGUGAAAUGCGCAGAUAUCAGGAGGAACACCGAUGGCGAAGGCAGGUCUCUGGGCCACUACUGACGCUGAGAAGCGAAAGCAUGGGGAGCGAACAGGAUUAGAUACCCCGGUAGUCCCU